rnacentral:lncRNA from 1 species
UGCUUCUUAGGACCACUGUAAAGGUUGAGCUCCCAGAAAGAAAAUCAAGAUAGAGAUACAUGUGCAGUUUGCAAGGGAAUUAUGAAAGCAGGAUUGAAUAGAGGGAGGCGUUGAACUGAGAUUAAUUUGUGACAGAGCCUUCAGUUAAUUCCAGAAAGAGCUCUGCAAUGGUGAUACUCUUUAAACCAGUAGAUUUCAACUGGAUGUGGUUUCCUUUUCUAGGGGACCUGUGGAAAUGUCUGUAGACAAUUUUGAUUGAUGUAAGUGGAAAAGGGUGCUGCUGGUAUCCAGUGAGGGAGGCCAGAGAUGCUCCUCAGCAUUCUCAGUGUACAGGACAGCCCCUCCCAACAAAGAAUUAUCCAGCCCUAAAUGCUGAUAGUGUUGAGUUGGAGAAACUCUGAUUUAUAGACGUCUCUAAUCAAAGCAAGGACCAGAGCCUCUGUACACUUUCAGUGGUUUGGGAUUGCCCCCAGGGAGAGGUAAAAUGUUGGACAAGGCAGCUCUCUCACCCUUAAUGAAAUUUCCAGAGUGAGAUCCUCCUGUGAGUGUGGGCAGUUUAUGCUCCUGGCAGCUAGGGGAACGCGGAACUCAGGCUCAAAGGGAAAGAUCAAGGUGCAUCAUCUACUACAUGGUGAUCGUAUGCUAAUGGAAUGAUUUUUCUGUAUCUAUUUCUACCAGUUGCCGAGGGAGCCAGAAAGAACAUGACCUCAGGUCUGGAUUGUAGUGCACAAACGAAGCUGAAGAUUGCUGAACAGCCAAACAGAUGUCAAAAGAUGUUUCACUCUCUACUAAACACAUACACUCUCCACUGAAAGCUGGGCUUGGUCCAAAACCGGGGUAGUAAGUAAAGGUGUGAUAUUGGCGAUAGACAUUAGUGAGAAAUAUCAGAAGCUUUACAAACAGACCUGUUUCCAAUCUUGCUGUGCAUCAUUAUGGAAUUUACUCAGCUUCUCUGAGCUUUGAUAUCCUUAUCCAUAAAAUGGAGUCUAGAAGUGCUGCCUGAUAAAGUUGUGAGCAUCAAAUGAGACAUGCAAGGCGUAAUUCAAAACAGCACAGAGGUGAUAAUAAAAUAAAAUUAGACCGUGUUUUUUAUUCUUCUUUAUUUGUACAUAUUAAUUAAUAAUAUACAGAAUCAGUGUUUGGUAUGUGGGAC